rnacentral:tRNA from 1 species
CGGGGCGUAGCGUAGCCUGGCAACGCGCCUGCUUUGGGAGCAGGAGAUCCUCGGUUCGAAUCCGAGCGCCCCGACCA